UUGUUUAGAGCUUACACAUAGCUACAAACGGCGUCGUUUAACCACCGCCGACUGCCGACUAAUGGCAUCAGGGCUGUGAUCCGGUGACAGCCGGUGACGUUUGAUCCCCCAAACGAGUGGCUGCGAUCAUUCGUGGAACUAAAUCGGACGGUGGGAGUUCGGCGUUUGAUCCUAUAGCUGUGAGUUUAGCGCAUCCCCAGAUAGAUGAAGCAAAUCCACUUGUAAUGAAUAAAUUCCUCUCUCCCAAAAAGUGAAGUAAAUAAAUAAUAAUAAUAUUAUUAUUAUUAUAUAGCUCGUCUUCUCCACAGAAUCCACCAUUUUUGUUCCUCUUUGGACCUUCCUUCUCUCGCCAGCGACAGCCAUGGAAAUCUCUCAAAUCUGCUCGAAUCGAGCUUAAAUUAUCGCGGUGAGUGCUGAGUUUUGAGGGUUUGGUGUUGAUUGUGCGGUGGAAUUGCUCAAUUAUGGUGUCUGUGCAAGAUUCCUGUCCUCACUCGCACUCCAACCCUAACAUUACGGCGCCCUACGCCGGACCACCGCAUCCGUACUAUUACUACACUCCGCCGCCGUCCUCGGCCAAGAUAAGCCGUGCCAUGGGCAGGUCUAUGCGCACAAUUCGCUCCAGCAUCUUCGACGCCGACCAGUCGAGUCCGAUUGGCAAGAAAUCGGCAAAUGUUUCGGAAAAUCUUACCGACUCGGAAAUCGACCUCCGACUUGGUGAACUCGCCACUAAAUCAUCGAGUGAUUCGAAAAGCCCGUCCUCUGACAUCGAUGAGGUUUUGGACAUCUCCCAUGCGUUCAGCGAUUUCUCGGCGUGCUCCAGCGACAUUUCCGGCGAGCUCCACCGUCUCGCAACCGUACCUGAUCCCGGUUUAAGUAAGGGCCCGAGCUCCGAGCCCGAGCCCGAGCCUUGCUCCGGAUUUCUACAGAGGGAGACGUUUUCUACAGAAAUUAUUGAGAGCAUCUCUCCCGAGGAUCUACAGCCGACCGUGAAACUCUGCGUGGAUGGAUUGAAGUCGCCAUCAGUUGCAGUGAAAAGGUCGGCAGCGGCUAAAUUGAGAUUAUUGGCUAAAAAUCGGGCCGACAAUAGGGCUUUGAUCGGAGAAUCCGGUGCAGUACCCGCUCUGAUUCCGCUUCUUCGUUGCACUGAUCCUAUGACACAGGAGCACGCAGUAACGGCUUUGCUUAAUCUCUCACUCCAUGAAAGCAACAAAAGCGUUAUCACGAACGGGGGGGCUAUCAAAUCGUUAAUCUAUGUCCUUAAAACAGGCACCGAAACUUCCAAGCAGAACGCAGCCUGUGCGUUGCUCAGCCUGGCUUUGGUGGACGAGUAUAAACUCUCAAUUGGGGCUUCCGGUGCAAUACCUCCAUUGGUCUCUUUGUUGAUUAACGGUUCUAAUAGAGGUAAAAAGGAUGCGCUCACAACACUUUACAAGUUGUGUUCGAUGAGGCUAAAUAAGGAGAGAGCAGUGAGCGCAGGUGCUGUUAGGCCGCUGGUGGGGCUUGUCGGCGAGCAAGGCACUGGACUGGCUGAGAAGGCAUUAGUGGUGUUGAGUAGCUUAGCAGGAAUUGAGAUGGGGCGUGAGGCGAUUGUUGAGGAAGGUGGGAUUGCGGCUCUGGUGGAGACGAUUGAGGAUGGGAGUGACAAGGGCAAGGAGUUUGCAGUUUUGACUCUGUUGCAGCUGUGUAUGGAAAACAUUAGGAACAGGGGUUUGCUUGUCAGGGAAGGAGGCAUUCCACCAUUGGUCGCGUUGUCACAGACGGGGACUGCCAAAGCUAAGCAUAAGGCUGAAACACUUCUUGGUUACUUGAGGGAACCAAGGCAGGAGGCUUCUUCUUCAAGUCCUUAAUGGGGAAGAUAGAUACCUUGAAGGUGGCAAGGUUCAUUAGCUGGCUAACUUGGCAUUGCCAAGAUCUGUCAAGAAAUGAUAAACAGCUUUCACCUGAAUAGUCUGCCUUAAUGCCCCUCCUAUUAAUUUUAAUCAUGGUGGUUGGUUAACUGCCUGAGGAAAAAGCAUCUGGACAAAAGGGGAUAAUCUAUGGAAAAACAAAAGCCAUUGUAGGGACGAUUGACCACUGAGGUUUUGUUGUAAAGUGGAUCCACUUACAAUUGGGGAUGGUGGGCCCCACCAACAUGCAGUGUACAAAUGCACCAUGAUAGAGCCAGGCAGCCCUCACCAGUCACCACCCAACCAUCCAACCCACAACAGAUUACAUGGUUUGCUGGCAGGACAGGUAUGUUCUUGUCCUACUUCUUGGAUGCUCAGUUUUCCUACUCCUCAAUGUCUCAGGUACAAGGAAGUAUAUUGCUACAAGUCCAAUGGCUGAAAAUCCAGCAAACAAGAGGAAUGUCCCGGCGGAGCCGAGAGCCUCUGUCAGAGUCAAGAAUGUCUCACUCACUACCAGGUUGGACACCCAAUUGGAAACUGCUGCUAUCCCUCCCCCAAGCCCUCUGAAUCUUAAUGGAUAUAUUUCCGAGUUAACGAUCCAAGGCACUGUUCCCAUCCCCGGCGAGUAGGAUAUGAUGUACAUUCCCAGGAGUAGAACUGCAAAGAUCCCAAACUUGCUUGGACAUCCCUUAGUGUACCAGGUACGAUGUUCGUCUCCACACAUUUCUUUUACUGCAUCAGUUGCAGCUAAACAUGCACCAGGAUGAUACUAAUCAUCGAUGAAAAGAAAUCCGACAGAAUGCACAGUCGGAGGAUGCCUUCAGACAUGUCAUGCAGUUCCACUGUGGCGGCUGAGGUUGCGAGACCUGCAAGAAACUUGAGCAGGUGGCGUUCCGUCCAAAGUGGAGAGAUUCGGCGCUUCCGAUUUUUGGGGCGUGGCUGGCAGCUUCAUAAAACAAUACAGACAAUGCAACAAGGCAGGCAAUGAUUCCAAACAUGGAUAUGAUCAUCAGUCUUCUCCUCCCAUAUCUGUCCACAAAUGCCAUGCUGCCAAUCGAGCCCAAGGCAUUCAGGCCGGAUGUAAUGAGGGACAGCGCCAGAGCAGUCUUGUUCGAAGCAAAUCCCGCUAGCUGAACAAUUGUCGGGCUGUAAUACAUAACAGUGUUUAUCCCAACAAAUUGCUGAGCAACUUGAACCGUGAUGCCCGCAUAGAGGCCUCUACGGACAACAUUGUUUCCCCAGGCGUUUUUCAGCUUUGCAAGAAUGCUGUCUCCGAUGGAGCCUUCCUCGGCCUUUUCUGCCUCGACUGAGGAAUGUAAAGCCUUGAGUUCGUCUUCAACUUCAUUCGCCGGGAUCAAUUCAUUACCUGCCUGUAAAGCCAUCUAGGCGACUCUGGGAGCGACAGCAUUAAAAUGAAUUGAACAACUGCCGGAACUCCAGCCACCCCGAGCAUCCAGCGCCACGUUCCAGUGAAUGCCAGGUUUAUGAGAUAGGCCAAGAAUUGUCCUCCUGUGAUGAGCAGACCAUUGGUGCUGACCAAUGCUCCUCGGAUUCUCGCAGGAGAUGCUUCCGAUAUGUAAAGCGGCGCCGUCAUGGACGCCAUCCCAACUCCGAACCCGACAAAGAUUCGCCCGAGAAUGAUCAUCCAGGGACCUUGAGCUGCAGCCAUGACAACUGCCCCGAUGAAGAAAAGUAUAUCCGCUAAAAGGAUGGACUUCUUUCGACCGUACUUAUCGUUCAGCCAACCGCCGAAUGCUGCGCCUACGAUCGCGCCUGCUAUGGCCAUGCUGACAAUUGUUUCCUGUAAUGAAAGCAAGCCAGGUAUGCCUGCCGACGUAUUUGUAGUCGUCUCUGAUGUAGAGCAGCGCGCCGGAAAUGACACCUGGAAAACAUUGCCGAUGAUAUGUUAGUUUUAAGGAAGCAUUGGUGCUAUGAUGUUUUGUUUUGUUUUGUUGUUGCGACAUUUGUGAUUCUUACCUGUGUCGUAGCCGAAUAAUAGUCCUCCGAUGCCGGCGGAGAAGGCGAGGCGCAUAAUGUAAGGUGUUUUCCAGCUUGUCCGGAAACAUUCAGUGAACUCUGUUUUAUCUGGCUUCAUGACACCUCCUUCCAUGUUGGUUUUUUCUUUAUCGUCACGGGACAGGACAAAGACAAGAGUUCUUCUUAAUUCACCUGAUGAUCACAAGGCAGUUCAUAUAUAUUCAGACACGGCCUGUCAAAUAUGUAUAUAUAUAUAUACACUAUCAUCAUCAUCAUCAUGGGUGUCUCUGAAGAAUGCAACAGAUUUGCUCCAAAUGUGUAAUGAAAUCUUCAUCUGUGUUGAUUAGAAGAUGCAUAUCAAA